CUAGGUUUACAUAAGGGACUGCAGCUGUAUUUAAGUACACAACAGUCCCUUGUAGCCUCCAUGGUAAUGUAAAUAGAGUAGGGGGAUGGACUCUUAGACUAAAGAAGGGACAGCAGAGCAAUUAAGCCCAUAAAAAGUCCCAACUACCUUCUGCAGUCACGCAAGGGGAGUUAGGUGGGAAUGGGAUCCUAGGUGAAAAAAAAAA